GAUGAACGCUGGCGGCGUGCUUAACACAUGCAAGUCGAACGGAAAGGCGCUGCUUUUGUGGGGUUCUCGUUUGGCGCACGGGUGAGUAUCACGUGAGUAACCUGCCCUUGUCUUUGGGAUAACUUCAGGAAACUGGGGCUAAUACCGGGUAUGAUCUCCUGCUGCACGGUGGUGGUUGGAAAGUUUCGGCGGUUGGGGCUGGACUGGCUGCUUAUCAGCUGGUUGGUGGGGUAGGGGCUUACAAGGGCUUUGACGGGUAGGCGGCAUGGGAGGGUGACCGGCCACAUGGGGACUGAGAGACGGCGCAGACGGCUACGGGAGGCAGCAGUGGAGAAUAUUGCACAAUGGGCGGAAGCCUGAUGUAGCGACGUCGGGUGCGGGAUGCCGGCUUUCGGGUUAUGAACCGCUUUCGACUGUGACGAGGCGUGAGUGACGGUAAUGGGUAAAGAAGCACCGGCUAACUACGUG
rnacentral:rRNA from 1 species